GAUGAACGCUGGCGGCGUGCCUAAUACAUGCAAGUCGAGCGAACGGACGAGAAGCUUGCUUCUCUGAUGUUAGCGGCGGACGGGUGAGUAACACGUGGAUAACCUACCUAUAAGACUGGGAUAACUUCGGGAAACCGGAGCUAAUACCGGAUGAUAUUUUGAACCGCCUGGUUCAAAAGUGAAAGACGGUCUUGCUGUCACUUAUAGAUGGAUCCGCGCUGCAUUAGCUAGUUGGUAAGGUAACGGCUUACCAAGGCAACGAUGCAUAGCCGACCUGAGAGGGUGAUCGGCCACACUGGAACUGAGACACGGUCCAGACGCCUACGGGAGGCAGCGUAGGGAAUCUUCCGCAAUGGGCGAAAGCCUGACGGAGCAACGCCGCGUGAGUGAUGAAGGUCUUCGGAUCGUAAAACUCUGUUAUUAGGGAAGAACAUAUGUGUAAGUAACUGUGCACAUCUUGACGGUACCUAAUCAGAAAGCCACGGCUAACUACGUG
rnacentral:rRNA from 1 species